AAGUCGUAACAAGGUUUCCGUAGGUGAACCUGCGGAAGGAUCGUUAGUGAAUUGGGCCUCCGGUCUUUUUCCAAUCCCACACCAUUUGUGCACUUGUUUUGGGAGCUAGGGCGUCGUGGCUUUAGCCCCAUCAAACGUUCAAUCAGUUAGAAAGUUGGCUUCGAAUAUCAAAACUUUUAGCAACGGAUCUCUUGGCUCUC
rnacentral:misc_RNA from 1 species